GAUGUUGAAGGGAGGGAAGAAAGAAAAAGAAGGGAAAGGAAAAGAAAGGAGUAGAAAAGAAGGGGGAGAAAGAAAGGAAAGUGGAAAGAGGUAUUUGGAGAAGGAAGGAAAGAACGAGAAAGAAGGUUAGAAAAAGGAAAGGAAGGAAGAAGUGUUAAAGGGAGGGAAGAAAGAAAAAAAGGACUAGAACAGAAGGGGGAGAAAGAAAAAGGGAAGGAGGGGGGAGAGAAUGGAAAGUCGGGAGAGGUAUUUGGAGAAGGAAGGAAAGAACGAGAAAGAAGGAAAGAGAAAGGGAAGAUAAGGAAGAAAUGUUGAAGGGAGGGAAGAAAGAAAAAGAAGGGAAAGGAAAAGAAGGGAGUAGAACAGAAGGGGGAGAAAGAAAAAGGGAAGGAGGGGGAGAGAGAAAGAAAAGUGGGGAGAGGUAUUUGGAGAAGGAAGGAAAGAACGAGAAAGAGGGUUAGAGAAAGGAAAGGAAGGAAGAAGUGUUAAAGGGAGGGAAGAAAGAAAAAAAGGACUAGAACAGAAGGGGGAGAAAGAAAAAAGGAAGGAGGGGGGAGAGAAUGGAAAGUCGGGAGAGGUAUUUGGAGAAGGAAGGAAAGAAUGAGAAAGAAGAAGAGAAAGGGAAGAAAGAAAAAGGGAAGGGGGGAGAGAAAGAAAAGUGGGGAGAGGUAUUUGGAGAAGGAAAGAACGAGAAAGAAGGGAAAAGGAAGGGAAGGAAGAAGUGUUGAAGGGAG